UACGGGGGGAGCAAGCGUUGUUCGGAUUUACUGGGCGUAAAGGGCGCGUAGGCGGCCACCGCAAGUCGACUGUGAAAUCUCCGGGCUUAACCCGGAAAGGUCAGCCGAUACUGGAAGGCUCGAGUGCGGGAGAGGGAUGUGGAAUUCCAGGUGUAGCGGUGAAAUGCGUAGAUAUCUGGAGGAACACCGGUGGCGAAGGCGGCAUCCUGGACCGACACUGACGCUGAGGCGCGAAAGCCAGGGGAGCAAACGGG
rnacentral:rRNA from 1 species